ensembl:misc_RNA 7SK 7SK RNA
UGAUGUGAGGGCCAUCUGGCCGUUACAUCUGUCACCACCUUGAUAGCCAGGGCUGAUUGGUCUGAUCUGGCUGGCUAGGCAGGUGUCCCUUUCCUCCUACAGUGUCCCUCCUGAAGCUGCACACUCCAGUCAAAGAGGAUGACCUUCUCAGAAUAGAGACAGAGCGGUCUUUGGUUGAAAGUAUACAAGUAGUUGCUUUCCCCUCCUAGUACCUCCAAACAAGCUCUCAAGGUCCACAGUGAGCCCAACCCAACCUCUGCUUGAGAAGACAGCAUCUUUAGUCUCUUGACUUGAUCUCCAGUGUUACAGCUGAACCCCUGAGUGCAUAAGACAAUAAAA